UACGUAGGGGGCGAGCGUUAUCCGGAAUUACUGGGCGUAAAGCGCACGCAGGCGGUUCGCCAAGUUUGGAGUGACAGUUGUCGGCUCAACCGACAAAGGACUUCAAAAACUGGUGAACUUGAGGACGAGAGAGGAACAUGGAACUCCAGGUGUAGUAGUGAAAUGCGUAGAUAUCUGGAAGAACACCAAUGGCGAAGGCAAUGUUCUGGCUCGUUUCUGACGCUCAGGUGGCGAAAGCC
rnacentral:rRNA from 1 species